rnacentral:rRNA from 1 species
CCCCUAGAUGUUCUGGGCCGCACGCGCGCUACACUGAACAGUUCAACAAGUCUUAACCUUGGCCGAUAGGUCUGGGUAAUCUUUGAACGCUGUUCGUGACUGGGAUAGACCUUUGCAAUUAUGGGUCUUCAACGAGGAAUUCCUAGUAAACGCAAGUCAUCAGCUUGCAUUGAUUACGUCCCUGCCCUUUGUACACACCGCCCGUCGCACCUACCGAUUGAAUGGUCCGGUGAAUAAUUCGGACUGCAGCAGUGUUCAGUUCCUGAACGUUGCAGCGGAAAGUUUAGUGAACCUUAUCACUUAGAGGAAGGAGAAGUCGUAACA